GCGAUGGGCGUGGUUUCUGGAGAAGGGGCGUGGCGCCAGCACCCGGGACCGCCCCUCCCGUACACGGGGGCCGGUGCUNNNNNNNNNNNNNGCCGGUGCUUCCCCUCCCUGUCCCCUGGAAUGAGGAAGCGGCUCCGGCCACCUUCAGCUGUCACACGGCAGCGUAGUUCUCCGCUGGCACCAUCCCCUCGCCCUGCAUCCUCGGGUGCAGGGACCUUUCACCACCCGGGGAUUGAGGGGGCUGGCUCUGGACAUGGCUGGGCAGAUAGGAGGGCUGCCCCUGCCCCUGCUGCUGCUGAGCCUUGCCGUGCUGGACUUCACGCUAGCCCUGAAACCUCCGCCCCAGAGGUGCUGACGGAUGCCUUCACAGCCAGCGAUGCAACGCCUCGCGGGAGCAGCACGGCAGCCUCCAGCAUCACCACACCGCAGGCGAGGGGCAGCGCAGCCCGCGGCACUCCUGGGUCACCCACUGGCACCACGGUGCAGCCUGACCCCACCCCAACAGGACCAGGGCUCACCACCGGCACCCCAACUCCAAUCCCCAUGGCCACAACACCCAACUGUGCUGAGACGACCAUUGUCACGUCUGUUGGGACCAGCACGGCCCUGGCUGUCAGCUCGUUUGGAGUCAAAACAAGCCCGCUGCCUCCCUCCCCCUCUUCUCUUCUCUCCUCCACCUGGGUGGGCACCACGCUCGGCACCAGCACCCGCCAAGGGCCAGCCGUGACCACGCUGCUUGGCAGCACAUCCCCAGGGACCGGCAGCGCCUCUUCGCCCACCGCACCGGCACCGACAGCCACUUCGGACGAGCCCUCGACGACCCCGCUGGACACCGCGACCACCCCCGUUACCAGCAUGGGGGUCCCCGGGAGCACCUCCGCCCCCAGCCAGUCAGCCGGGACCACGGCUGGGACCACCCCUGGUACCUCCACCCCGACAGCACCUGAGACCUCCAGUGCCGCCGCAGUUCCUCGAGCUCAGAGCGAGCGGGCUGUUGUCUCCCGAGGGCGUUGGUGCUGGGAGCCAUCACUGAACAUCACCCCUGUGGCAGAGUGCUGGGACGGUCCCAGGCAGCCUGGCUGCUUCCCUGGGCUUUUUUCCGUUGUCACCAUCCCCUCAGCAAGCAGAGGACGGCACGGUCCCCGGCUGAAGGGACCUGGUCUGCUGCAGUCGUGGCCCGGCCAGCCUGCCCUGCCCGCUGCUCAUGGCUGCCCUGGGUCCAGUGGCGCAGCUGAUGUCUGCUCGGCAUUGCACCCGUCCCUGGGAGCAUCUGUGUCGGGUGGAAAUCCCCUCUUCGCUGCCAACACCUGA
rnacentral:lncRNA from 1 species